GUAGGUGAAACCUGCGGAAGGAUCAUUA
rnacentral:rRNA from 1 species